rnacentral:rRNA from 1 species
GGCCUUUUGAUUAUGAUUUAAGGUCUUGCCUGCCCAAUGAUAUUUGAAUGGCCGCAGUAUUUUGACUGUGCAAAGGUAGCAUAAUCAUUAGUUUCUUAAUUAGAAGCUGGAAUGAAUGGUUUGAUGAGAAAUUGACUGUCUCUUUAUAAUUGUUUUAUAAUUUUAUUUUUAAGUCAAAAAGCUUAAAUUUUUUACAAAGACGAGAAGACCCUAUAGAGUUUUACAAUUUGGAGGAUAAUUUAUAUGAGGGUUUAUUAUUUAGGUUGUUUUUUAAUUUGUUUUGUUGGGGUGACAUGAAAAUUUAAUUAACUUUUCAUAGUUUUUACACUGAUGAGUGAAUUUAUGAUCCUAUUUUUUAGAUUAUAAGAUUAAAUUACCUUAGGGAUAACAGCGUAAUUCUUUUUGAAAGUUCUUAUUGAUAAGAAAGUUUGCGA